rnacentral:lncRNA from 1 species
CACACUCUCUCUUCCAAACUCCAUUUCUCUCCCCUGCAAAAGCCCUAUUUGUAUUUUUUCUCUCUAUCUUCCCACGCAAAACCCCAACUCUCUCUCUUCCCCUACAAAAGCCCAACUCUAUCUUUUCGCUCUCUCUCUCUUCCCUUGCGAUUGCGAUAGCUAAACUCUCUCUCUCCUUAUUUAUCUUAUCCUACGGCAUGCGAAACUCUACUUCUCUUCUAAGCUGGAUCUUUGAUCAGCGUAAUUUUUUUUCUUUUCCCAUACAUUCGUUUUUUUGCAUCUUGAUGCUUAGCGAAAAACUAGCAAAUAUGACAAAUUUUUAUUUGAUUUUUGUGCAGUCUUUCUUUACAUCUUGACGCUCGGUAGAAGAAGAGCAUAAAUGGUGAGUUUUUAUUUGAUUUUCGUGUUUUUGUUUUUUGCAUAUUGGUGCUCGGUAAAAAACCAAGCAAAAAUGGCAAGUUUUUAUUUGAUUUUGUCUAUUUUGUGUAUCUUGAUGCUCGGUGGAAGAUCAGCAAAAAUAGCAAGGUUUUAUUUGAUUUUCAUGCUUUAUUUUUUUGCAUAUUGAAGCUUGGUGGAAGAUCAACAAAAACAACUUUUUAUUUGAUUUUGGUACCUUUUUUUUUGGCAUUUUAAUGUGGUCUUUUUUAAGAACUUUCUCCUCAUGGACGAAGCUGCAUUAACGAAAUUUGAGGGAUUUUUACAGAAUUCUGCAUUAAAAGGGGAUGUAGGCAUUUUUGUCCACGGUACGGGUUUGGGUCAUGGGUUCUAAUCCAUAUCACGCGUACGGGUCUGGAACUCUUUGGACCCGUUGGGUAUGGGUCCAUAAGUGAUAUUUAGGGUUCUGAUCCAGCCAGACCCAACCCAUACCCGGCCCAUUGCCACCCUAGGUCCGGGUUCGGGUUCUGAUCCUGAUUCGUGAGGUACAACUGGGGCUAUUCCUAAGUUAGAUUAGAUUACAUUUGAUGAAUUUUUUAUUUUUAUGUUAGUUUUUCAAACGAAGAAAAAGAACUAGAGAGUCAGGCAAUCCAGGGUUCCCCGGACCGCAAUUUCUUAGAUCCCAAUCCCGUGCAUAACUUAGGUAAUUCCGAGUUGGCUCAGUGGUUCUUAAAUAAAUGAUUCCCUAGACAGCAGUUUGAUAAAAUUUUUAUUUUUAUGUUAUUUUCAUACGAAGAAAAUUAACUAGAAGAGUCAGGCAAUCCAUGGUUCUUCGGACCGCAAUUUUUUGGAUCCCAAUCUUGUGCACAACUCAGGCAAUUCCGAGUUGGCUUUGUGGUUCUUAAAUAAAUUAUUCUAAUUACUCUUUGGUGCGAAAGACCAAUGUGGACACAUGUUCCCCUACCUAGUCCCCAAAACACAUGGUUAGGGAGAUCUUUUUAUUUGCGAUAUCAUUUUUGAAUCACAUAGUGGAAACUUCAAAGACACAUGGUUAGGGAGAUCUUUUUAUUUGCGAUAUCAUUUUUGAAUCACAUAGUGGAAACUUCAAAGACAAAACAUAAAGGGUGAGGUUUACAUAAGCUUGCAACCUUGUACACUCAAAGAAAGGUAUGUUGACAUGUAUGGAUAUGAGGCUUUACGUGUUUUAGCCUACAUUUGUAAGAAAUUCAAUAUAUUUAACGGUUAUAUGGUCCAAUAUUCAUAUAAUCGUAAUUCCUUGUCCAACAGUUAUAUCCAUCUGAACGUAACGCUUCAUAAACCUGUUGGAGAUCAGGAACCUUUCGUUUUUUAUAGGCUUGUUUAUAGGCUUGUUGGAAAAAUACAAUGGCACCCCUUCUUUUUCUAUAAAAAUCCUAUAAAAGUGGGGCGUCUUUCCCUGUAAAGGGUGGCGUUUUUUACUUUUUAAAUUUGAAAGACAUACACACAGAAAAGGCCUCUUUCGCUGUAAAGAGUGGCGUUUUUUGCUUUUGAAAUUUGAAAGACGUACACACAGCGAAGGCAUCUUUCGCUGUAAAGAGUGGCGUUUUUAGCUUUUGAAAUAUGAAAGACGUACACAGCAAAGACGUUUUUUGCCAAAAGACGCACACAUUCUUUCAAGUUUCAAGUAACAACAAUGUGAAAGGGCCAGGAAUUGAGGCCUUAGCCUCUUGUAAAGAGGCCUCCACAUCUUACCAGCACGAUACUUAUCAAUUAUUAUUAUGAUUAGGCGUUUUAUUAUAUAUAAACUUAUUUAUUGCUCCAUAAUUUAUUUUUAUAUUUUUUUAUUGCUGAUAUUUGAAUACAAUUAAUACAUUUACUGCCUUAGUGUGAUAUAGAAAUUGAAUACUUGAUAUUUGUUCUUUUAUUGUAAGGGCUCAUACACCUUGAUAUUGCUCAUCUACCCUAAAUAAAUAAAAUAAAGGCGAAUUAUAUAUUAUCUUUGAUAAUUAUAGUGCUUACUUAUUGAUUUUGGAGAUUGCCUAUUUCAUAAAUUUUUUUAAGGCAUCAAUUAAUAGCUGACAUUAUUGAUGAAAUACUUGUAGCUCUCUCUGUUGAAGUAUUGACCACAUAUUAUUUUUGGUGCCUUGUUUAGCUUUUUUAGAACUUAGAAAGAAUUAAGUUUGCUCAUACAAAAUCUUAGUAAAUGGCCAGUAGAAUUAUAAUGGCUAAACACUCUAAAGUAGAAAAAUUGAAAUAUCUCAUCAUCCAAGAUAGAAUCAUAUAUGUACUAAAAGAUGAUCCACCAAUAGUUGCUGAUAAACUGACUGAAGAAGAAAAGAAAAAGUUAGAAAAAAUUUUAGAAGAUGACCUCAUAGCAAAAACAUCUAUGUUACCUUUUAUGCAAGAUAGCCUUAUUAAGGUUUUUGUAAGAAAAUGCUAGAGGCAAUAAAAACUAAAUAUGACUCAACAUCUGAAACAUACCUCCAAUUGCUAUUAGAGCAAUAUAAUUCAUUUAAGAUGAAGGAGGGUAAUAAUGUAGUGGAACAUAUUAACAAGAUACUCGUUAUGGCUAAGGACUUAGUCAUUACUGGGAAUGAAGCCUCCGAGCGCAUGCAAGUUUCCACUAUUUUAAAUAGUCUUCCACUUUCAUGGAGGAUGAUAACAAUUGUACUUAGAUUAAAUACAAAAUCUCUUACAGUAUGGGACCUACCUAUGCAACUAGCUUUAGAGCAAGAGCAUAUGAAUAAAGAUAAAAAGAGUGAACUCAUGCUUGCUCAAGGACCUCCUAAAUUUAGCCAACCUAAGCAAUAUAAACGGAAAUUUCAAAAAAAGUUUAAUAAGAGGAACAAUAGGUUAAAAAACAAAGGAUCUAAGCCCUACAACCAAUAAUCUAAAUAAGGACCGCCAAAAUGCUUUUUAUAUGGUCAGCCAAGACACUUCAAGAACCGCUGCUCAUAAAAUAGAAACUCGUAAAAUCCAAAGAAUAACGGGAAGGGAAGUAAGAGACAUGAAGUUGUUUGUAUGGUUUCUGAGUGCCUAAUGGCACAACACAACAUCAAAGGAUGGUGGGUGGACUCAGGCGCUAAUCGACAUAUCACAAGUUCAAAAGGCCUCUUCGAGGACUUUCAAGAGAUAAAAGCCGGAGAGAAACACAUCUACAUGGGGAACAACACCUAUUCUAAUGUAUUGGGUGUAGGAACUUGUAGCUUGUAUGUAGGGACAAUCGACAUUGUAUUAGCUGAUGUAUAUUUUGCCCCUUCUAUGAGUCGAAAUAUUGUAUCUGUCCCCUUGCUCAUUAGAAAUGGCUUUGAAGUCUGUUUUUGAUCAUUGAAAGUAUCAAUCGAAAAGCGUGGACAAAUUUAUGCUUUGGGACACUUAGUUGAUGACCACAACUUGUUCCUACUUCAUGUAAAUCAGAAAGCUAACAAUAAUAUUUCAUCUUAUUCUGGUUAUAUUGAUAGUGUAUGCUUUGAUGACGACAACUUGUUCCUACUUCAUGUAAAUUAGAAAGCUGAUGCAUGUGCUUGGUAUCUUAGGCUUGGUCACAUAAGAAAAGACAAAAUGAGUAGGUUAAUAAAUAAAUGUCUUAUUCUAAAUCUAAAUAAUCUAGAAUUUCCAACCUGUCAGCACUACUUAUCAAGAAAAAUGACUAGGCAAUCAGUCAAUAAAGGGGAGAGAGCUAAUGAGUUAUUGAAUGUGGUCCACUCAGACAUUUGUGGGCCCCUCAAUGUUAAAGCUCAUGGAAGAAUGUCAUACUUCAUCACUUUUAUUGACGAUUUUUUUAGAUUUGGAUACGUUUAUUUAAUUCACCAUAAAUCAGAAGCUUUAGAAAAACUUAAAAUAUAUAAAAGGGAAGUAGAAAAUCAAUUAGGUCGGAACAUCAAAGUUCUUAGAACUGACAGGGGAGGUGUAUCUAAAGCUUUCAUUACUUAUUACCAAAAACAUGGUAUUAAAAGACACACUACUAUGCCUUAUACGCUACAACAAAAUAGAAUAGCUGAAAGGCGUAACAGAACCCUCUUAGAAAUGACAAAAUGGAAUAGCUGAAAGGCAUAACAGAACCCUCUUAGAAAUGACUGGAUCCAUGAUGGCUCCUGCUAAUCUACCCAAGACCUUUUGGGGAGAAGCAAUAAGCACAUCCAUGUAUAUUCUUAAUAGGGUUCCAAUUAAGGCAAUAGAUUAUAUCUCUUAUGAACUGUGGACUGGUAGAAAACCUGAUUUAUCUAACUUAAAGAAGUGGGAGUCGAUUACACAUGUCCUGAUUCCAUAUCAGUACAAAAAUAAAUUAGAAAACAAAACUCUAGUGUGUAAUUUUAUAGGAUACCCUGAAGGAUAAAAGGGAUAUCGAUUUUAUCAUAAAGAUACGGGACUAAUUGAAAACAGAGACGCUAAGUUCUUAGAAGAUUUUAUUGAAGAAAACAUACAUGUAGUGGAUAAUGAUAAUCCACUUAAUAUCCUAAAUGACAUAGAACCACUACCUACACUGGAUAUGGAUAGAACCACUACCUACACUGGAUAUAGAUAGCCUUGAUCAACAUGAUGAUGUUGAAAUACACACACACCCAAUGUUAAGUGGUUAAAAUAGGUCUAGAGGUCAUCCAUCAUACCUUGAUGAUUUCUAUGUCUAUUUGAGUGAGGAGAUAGAUAACAUUUUUUAUCUAGAUGAAAUCCAUGACCCUUUUGUUCAUAUCGACUCUCCUUUGCCCCUUGGUUGAAGUCACAAGAAUCUCAUAAAUGGCUUAAUGCUAUGAAAGAAGAAUUGGAUUCUAUUGAGAAAAAUAAAGUUUGGGAUUUAUGUGAUUUACCAUUAGAUAAGAAACCUAUAGGUUCUAAAUAGGUACUUAAAAGAAAGUUAAAAUCUGAUGGAUUGCUUGAUAAAUUUAAAGCUAUGUUAGUAGCAAAGGGUUUUACCCAAAGAAAGGGAGUCGACUAUGUCGAUACUCACUCCCCAGUGACAACGUUCAUAUCCAUUAAAAUAAUUUUGGCAAUCAUUGUAUAUUAUGACGUCGAAUAAUUAUGAAGUAAAUAGAUUGGACCGUUGUGUGUAUGUCUUGAAGAGUGAGAAAUAGAUUUGACCAUUGUGUAUAUGUCUUGAAGAGUGAGAGUAAAUUCACAAUACUCUCAUUAUAUGUAGAUGGUAUCCUAAUAGCUAGACAUGACUUAGAAAUGAUUGAUAAGACUAAGCCAUGACUUUCUUCUCGGUUUGAGAUGAAGGAUAUGGGAGAAGCAUCUUUUGUCUUAAGCAUAAAAAUAAUUAGAGAUAAAAAAUAAAAAAUGUUGUGCAUGUUGUGCUUGAGCCAAGAGAGAUACCUUGACUAUGUUCUCAAAAGAUUUAAAAUGUAAAAUUGUAAGUCAUUGUCUACUCCUGUUGAAAAGGGAGUAAAUAUGUCUAGGAAGGAUUGUCUAAUAGAAGGACAAAAAAAGCCUAAUGUUUCCUAUGCAUAAGCUAUUGGUAGCCUGAUAUAUGCAGUAAGAUGUACAAGGCUAGAUUUGAGUUAUGCCAUAGGACUUGUUUGUAAAUAUCAAAGUAAUCCAAAUAUAGCUCAUUGAAAAGCAGUAAAAAGAAUUUUAAGGGAUAUUAAGGGAACAAAGUAUCUAAAAUUGUGCUUUCAAGCAGAGAAGCUUGAAGUUAUAGGAUAUUCAGAUGCAGAUUUUGCUGGGGAUAAGGACAAUAAUAAGUCCACCUCAAGACAUAUUUUUCUCUUUGGAGAGGCUGUUGUUUCUUGGUCUAGUAAGAAACAAAGGUGUGUAGUUAGGUACACACAGGAAGCAGAAUACAUUGUAUGUAGCACUGCUUGUACUUUUGCCGUCUGGAUAAAGCGCUUCAUAGAUAACUUGAAGCUACAAAUAAUUAACGAACCGAUCCAGAUAUUUUGUGAUAAUCAAGCCGCAAUUAAAUUAAUUCGAAGUGGAGCAAAUAACUCCAAAAGAAGACAUAUAGAUAUCCAAUAUCACUACAUUCAUGAUGUAGUUGAGAAAGGUGAAGUAACUGUUAGUUAUUUGCCCUCAUCAGAUAUGAUCGUUGAUCCAUUAACAAAGGGUCUAAGUGUUGAACUACUGUCUAAGCACACUAGCUUAAUGGGACUUAAAAAUAUUUAAGUCAAACAGUUUUCAUGAGUGAGAAAUCCGCAUUAGCGUGAAAAUCCUCCUGAUAGACUAGUUAAUGGGACUUAAAAAUAUUUAAGUCAGACAUAAGUCCGACAGUUUUAUGAGUGAGAAAUCUGCAUUAGUGUGAAAAUCCUUAUGAUAGACUAGCUUAAUGAGACUUAAAAUGUUUAAGUCAGACAGUUUUCAUGAGCGACAAAUCCACAUUAGUGUGAAAGUCUUCAUGAUAGUUGUUUAUUAUGAGAGGCAUAUCCACAAAAGCGUGAAAAAAAAAAAACUAAAUAAAUAAAUAAAAUUUGAUGACUAGAUAUUUUUUUAAAAGUCAUACUCAAAAGUAGGAGUAUACCUCAUGACAAUAUAUUUUCUUAAAGGUUAUACUCAAUAGUGGGAGUAUGCAUGUGAUUUAUUAUGCUCGGCCGUCAUAGCCAAGUGGGAGAUGUUGAUAUGUAUGACUAUGACGCCUUACAUGUCUUAGCCUACAUUUGUGGGAAAUUCAAUAUAUUCAACGGUUAUAUGGUCUAACGUCCAUAUGAUCGUAACCCCUUGUCCAAUGGUCAUAUCUAUAUGAACGUAACCCUUCAGAAACCCGUUGGAGAUCAAGGAAUCUUUUCGUUUCUCAGAGACCCGUUGGAGAAAUACAACGGUACCCCUUCUUUCCUUAUAAAAAUGGGAAGCCAGAGAGAGGAUGUCUACGACAAUGAAAAUAUGUACAUCUCUCUAAAAGACGAAGGGAUAGAUAAAAAUCCGGGCUCUACGAUCACCAGCCUCACGACACCCCUUCCUUGAUCUCUGGUUGGUCUCGUGCUUUGUCACUUUUAGCUAACAAGGUACACCUCUAAACUUUGUUAAACAAUCUAUAAACACAUGAAAAUCUUAAAAAUAGACGAUCCAGAUAAUGUGUUACAAGAUGUAUUAUUUUUGGAACUUGAAAUUUUUUUUUUUCCAUAUCCAUCCAUCUCCAUGUUAAGAUGAUCAAUUAGAUAGUUUUCCAAUGUCUUUUCAGAUGGAUUUUUUAUUUGCACUUUAAUUCUCAAUUUACGGUAUCAACCUUACAUAAACGUUUUUCAAAAGGAAAAUACUCCUCAGAACCUUAGAUUUAAUUGUUCCUCAAAUGGAUGGCACUGAUGUGGAGGAAUUGAUUUGCGACAUUUUCUAAGCUCUAGAUAACUUAAUUCUUGAGUAAUAUUUAGAGAUGAGUAAAAAUAAAUUGAAAUUUGUUAGACUGAAUAUAUUUCCUUAUUUAUCUUAGGAAGUAUAGUAUCUAUAUUGUGUGAACCCCGAAAUGGUGCAUAAGCAUCCUCUCAAUGCUCUAGAUUAGAAGGAAUAAACUGGAUGGCAUAAUUGUAUAAUAUAUUUUAAGGGAAAAUAACGUAAAUAUAUGUUUUAGUUUCUGCUAUUACAAAAAUACUAAAUACUUUUCGUUAUUACUGAUAUGUCCGUUGUUUGGACUUCAUAACAAAUUUUUUUAAAAAAAUUCGGUAUUUCAAAUUCGAAAUCAGGCCAAUUUUGGUUUUUUAAAAACCGAAAGUUUAAAAUUUUCGGUUCUUCAAUACCUGAAUUUUCUCUCUCUCUCUCUCUCUCUUGUGGGUCCUCUGCCUAUUCUCUCUCUAUCACUCUCUCUUUACAUUACAUGCGGAUUUCGAUCAAGGCCCGAAGACAAUGAGAACAUGGAAGAUUCAAUGUCAUAGCUUCCAUCUCUCUCUCUAGACCAUUAUUGGACUCUUGGAUUAAAGAGAGGAAGAUUUAUCCCUGUCGCUCAACCCCCUAUCUCUUCCUAAAGAAUAAGAUUGCACCUGUCUCUCUCUAAAACUCCACAUUGUAAACGUAAAGACGAGACUUUUGGUUGUACUCUUAAAAAAUGUUCAUAUAUUGAAGGUUUCUCUCUCCACUUCUUACCCCUUUUUUUUCUUCUCCUUUCGAAGAGGUUUUUCUAUGCUUUGAUGAUUUCUAAGCUAUUUCUUUUGAAAACAAAAGUUAUUGAUUUCAAAUUCGAGACUUCUCGAGAAACAGAAAGAUUUUGCUAGGAUUCCUUUUUCUUUAUUUCUGUAUUCAUCCUUUGUAGUGGCGAGUUUUCCUUUGUAGUGGUGGUUUUUCUUGCUGAGUGAUUCUUUGGCCACCAAUCAAAUUUUAGAGGGAUGGUAAUGGGUUUUGUAGAAAAAUUACAAGAAUUACUAAAUUGAAUAUAUAUAUGACAGUGCCCUUACUUUUUUAUAUCCUUUAGGGUUUGAGCAGAGAGAGAAAGAGAGAGGGAGUAGGGGAGAUUAGAAAAUUGCAUAAUUUUGAUGGGAUGAGAGAGAGAGGAGAGCAUAAAAUUUGAGCGUGAUGAGCAAAGGAGCGUCGAACUUUCAAAGUUUCUGAAAUAUCUGGUUACCUGCGAGGGUAAUCGGUGAAUACUUUCAACCAAAUACAGAUAAGAAUCUGGAUCGCUGCUACCAAUUGCAGGAAUGACUGAAAAUGAGUAGAGAUCGUAUCUGUGAUGCAGUAAAAAGUAAGGGAAGUUUAAAAUCCUUGUGUAAUGGAGAUAGAGGUAGAAAGAGAAUACACAGAGCACCCACAAGAGAGAAAAUUUUCGGUUAUUCAAUAACCGAAAAUUUCAAAUUUUUGGUUUUUAAAAACCAAAAUGGGUAGUUUCAUCUUUUUUUAAAAAAAUUGUUAGGAAGUUUAAAAAAAUAGAUAUAACGAAAAGUAUUCAGUAAUAACGGAAACUAAAAUGGAUAUUUACGUAAUUUUCUCAUAUUUUAAUUUUAUUUUCUAAGAUAUUUGAUUAACUUCUAAAUUUGAGCAUCCACACUUCUCAAGUAGGUUCGCGUAAAAAAAUAUUUUAUAUGAAAGAAAGACUAAUGUGAUCUUGUAGGGGAAUACAUUUUUUUAUUUUCUUCUUUUCACCAAUUUUCUUUUCUUUUUAUAAAGAUCACUUACAAGUCUUAUUACAAUAAUUCUUGCUUCAAAGGAAAUAAAACUAUCAAAUUCAAGACCUUAAAAACCUUGAUGCCAUUAAACUAAUUUUCUUUAAAUAAAGAAAAUAUCCACAAUUCUAAUGAUUGAGAAUAUAAAUACGAUAUAAUUAAAUAUGACAAGAAUCAAAAGAGGGUGUCAGAUAUUACUUCAACCGGGCUUAUUAUACCCCACUCCAAGUCACCACCAUCUGAUGGUGUGGAAUCAAGUAUUAACCUUCAAUCUCAAUCGAGAAAACAAAUUUAUUUCAAGCCACACCAAUAGAGUAUCAACCCCUUGGAACACAAACUCAAACUCUAGGUGAAUUCCCUUCGCAACGUAGUUUGAGAGAGAUGAAUUCUCUUUUUGCUAACCCUAAAACCCUAAUGUGGGAGAAAGAGAUCAAAGAUGAGAGAGUGGGGCGUACCGCCUUUAGAUUUCAUGAGAGAGAGAAACUUUCUUGAGAGUGGGGCAUACCCCCUUAGCUUUCAUGAGAGAGAGAAAUUAUGAGUGGGGCGUGCCCCUUGUGGGAUAUGAGAGAGAAAUAUGGAAUUACAAGAGAUAAGAUGUAGAGAUUUUUUAGAAGAGACAAUAUCUUUUUAUAAGCUUUGAACUAGAUUAAGAUUUUUUAGGGUUUUCCUUUGCUUGCUUCUUCUUGUGAGAUUGAAUAUGAACCAUUGAUCUUGAGUGACUUAUGGGGUGAGAGAUUUGAGCCACCCAAUCCAUAGAUGGGCCAUCAACACUAUGAAAGGCGCAAGAACAAUUAUCCCCUUUUCCUAAAUUUUUUUCCAUCAAUAGAAAUUAAAUAAAUUAAAUCUAAUCAAAAUAUUGUGCAUACCAUAAAAUAGCAUAAGUCUACUCAAUUUUUCAACAAAAUCAUUCAAUGAUAUACCAACUCAAUAUUUAGUCAAUAUAUUCCAACUAUAUGGCCACAUAGCAUAUCACUAAAAAAUAAGAAAGAGAAUAAGGGUGGGGUGUGCCACUCAAGGGAGGCACUCAUGGGCCCCACCUUCUAGAAAUAUUUUGGGUCCAUGUGCACAAUGGGCUGCCAUGAUAUUUUUAUAUUUUUAAAAUUAAUAAAAAAAAUUAGAAUAUUAUUUGAAUAUUUAAACCAUUGUAAAAUCAAUAUAUUUAAUUUUAUAAAUCCAAAAAUUAUAAAUAAAAUAUCUAGUGGUUCGUAAAAAUUUACAUAAUAAUUCUAAAAUAAUUUAUAUCAUAAAACAAAUACAAUUAAAUUAAUUUGAUGGAAAAAUGAUCCAUAUGAUUUAGGAAUUGAAUCAAUAAUCAUGGGACACUCCACUUUCAACUGUGGACUAUAGAUCACACUUGCUUUAUCAUAUAGACCUAGUAUUUUUCAUGACGCACAGUCCAAGCAGCGGUUCAUUAGUGGGUCACCAAAGUCUAGCUGAUGAGCCAAUAUGUUGCAAUCUCAGUCUGUGGAUUACAGGUCCUCCCCUAGAGACGAGUCAAUGUCACCUCGACAUGAUACGACCACAACUUUAUGGUGGAUAAGGGUAAUCUCUCUCAUACAUGCAUACGCUUCACCCUAAAUGUGGCUUCUUUGCUUUUCCAAACGAUCUAUUAAUAUGCAUACCGUGUAAUGAUACAUGGAUGAGGCUUUGGCCCCGUCUCUGUAGGCCACCAUCACUCGCAAGGGUCACACAGUCCCUCGGCUCACUCAUCUAGUCAUAUGCUCCAACCUUAUCAAGGGAUGAUCUAUUAGAAUCCUUCUUGGUUUGUUCUCUAUGCCCAGGUAAUAUAGGUUUUUCCCAACUGAUUGGCCUAGAUCGUUAAGUACAUCACAGUAUCUACAAACAUCGUUUACAUAGUAUGGUCCACGAGGGACCACACUCCCACUGAGUUCAUGUUCCACUAUACUAUUUCAUUUUACAAUAACUCAUAAGGCCUUUAAAGGCCACUUAAACCCAACAUAAAAUACUACAUAAACAUUCAAUGGCAUUUUGUUCUUUCCAGGUGCACCUAGAGUGGCCCACGCAUUUGCAAAAUUUCUAGUACAUACAAUUGGUCAGAAGAAAAACUGAAAAAGAAAACAAUGAAUAUAAUCGCCAUCAAUUUUCUUCUCUUGUUCUUAUACCAUCGCUUUAUAUUUUGAGAAAGUUUCUAUACUUUCCCUGUUGUAUAUUCUUAUACCAUUGCUUUAUGUUUUGAGAAAGUUUCUAUACUUUCCCUAUUGUAUAUUCUUAUACCAUCUCUUUAUAUUUUGAGAAAGUUUCUAUACUUUCCCUACUGUAUAGAAGUUAUAUACUUCCCGCCAUCUAAUCAUCUAAUUUAGAUCAAAUAAGCCACUGACGGUUUGAUAUAGAUUCGAUGCCACAAAGUAUUUUAUUCUACAAAUUAUAUGAAUAUGAAAUUUAGUGCGUACCAUCAUCUCAAUAGGGUGCACCUGAAAACAAUAUAAAAAAGGAUUUCCAAUAAAAUAAAAUGACCAAAACCCCUGAAACUUUCAUGAGUAUUUUGAUAUUUUUAUUUUAUCGAGAAUAUUUUUUAUAUUUUUUUAAAUUUUAUAAAAAAAUUAAAAAUUAAAUAGUGUAAAGGUGUAACAUUGUAAUUGGAUCCAUCUUAGCCGUUCAUUCAGAUUUGAUAGCUAGAUAAGGAGAAGUAUGAGACUACUAUAUAUUAGGGGAAGUAUACAAAAGCUUGCUCUUAUUUUUUAAGUGUAGAGAAUGGCAUGGGGACUUAACAGUAGUAUUAUUGAGUGCCAUGAUGAUGAAAUAUCUAAAUCUAUUCUCACUAUUGGGUAGGCCCAAAUCCCUACUAACUUGCCACUUUUUUUAGUCACCCUUUUUUUUUGAGGGGGGGACUGCAUAUUAAUGGUAAUCCCGGCCCCCAGUCCUUUUCCUUAUUCUUUUAAGAACGUUGCCUACCUAAAUAUAUUUAUGGAAGAGGGGAGUGAACGUGUGCCCCAUUUCUUUUCUCUUGUUCUAAGUGGCACAUUCCCAAGUCACAUGGUAUGCGCCUCAUGAUCCUAUACUACAGGGUGUCUAGGAAUAAUUAAGGGAUGGACUUUUUUAAGCCUAGGCUUUACGAAAAAGUAUUUUGGUCAUUGAAAAUCUCCAUAAUAUCUCUAAAAUCAAUGUCGAACACUGACCAUGAAAUUUGAUGUUAAAAAAAUGGUACAGAUCCGGCAUAUCCCUGAAGAUUUAUUUUUAAGGUGAAAUGAGCAAUCUAGAUAAUGUAUUACAAUGUAUUUUAUUUUUAGAGCUUGAAAUCUAAUUUUUUCUAUAACGAUAGUUGUUAAGGUCAAAAUGAUUGAAAUUUUUUCAAUGCCAGAACUAAAGGGCCGUAACCUGGUGCGGGUCAUGCCUAAGUAGAGUCCAGGGAGGGUGGGCUUGAAAUGGUCCUAACCUUUGGCUUAUGUACGAAGUGGCCGCUCUCAACACUUGAACUUGUGUUUUUGCGCUGGUUAACCGAGCCUUUUACCAUCACACCAAGUGACGAGCCUUUUACCAUGAAAUUUUUCGAUGCAAGAACUACAAUUUUGAAUGAGUUUUGAGGUGAGGCUUCACUUAUUCUAAUAGAGUUGUAGCCCUAUCAAAACAUUUUUCACAUCUAAAAAAAUGAUUUGGUUUCAUGAACAAUUACAAAAAAAAAAAAAGUUGUAAAAAAGUGUUGAAAUCUACAAAAUUACAAAUCAAAUAUAGAUGGCUAAGCAGCUACAGUCCCUCAAAAUUUUAAACCAACCAAAAUUACAAAUACAUAUUUCUGUCUACAUAUCAAACAAUGCUACCUCAGCUGCUACAAUCACUUAAAAAUAAGCCAAGAUUGAAAACUAGAGUCCGAAAUUAACUUUUAAAAAAAAAUAAUCCCAAGUAUAAAUUUUUGGAUUGUUCAGUGGGAUUUAAACUUGGGACAUAGUGUUACAAUAUCCUAAUAUCCAAAAAUAUACGGUGUGCAGAGGCAGGUCAGAGCUUCACACUGUGCUUACAGUUCUGAUCCCGAACCGCCAUGUCUGAGAUCGAGAUGUCAAUGUCGCAGCUCAUCUC